rnacentral:rRNA from 1 species
GACGAACGCUGGCGGCGUGCUUAACACAUGCAAGUCGAGCGGAAAGGCCCUUCGGGGUACUCGAGCGGCGAACGGGUGAGUAACACGUGAGUAACCUGCCCCAGACUUUGGGAUAACCCUCGGAAACGGGGGCUAAUACCGGAUACGACACAGCUUCGCAUGGGGUCUGGGUGGAAAGUUUUUCGGAUUGGGAUGGGCUCGCGGCCUAUCAGCUUGUUGGUGGGGUGAUGGCCUACCAAGGCGACGACGGGUAGCCGGCCUGAGAGGGGGACCGGCCACACUGGGACUGAGACAGGGCCCAGACUCCUACGGGAGGCAGCAGUGGGGAAUAUGGCACAAUGGGCGGAAGCCUGAUGCAGCGACGCCGCGUGAGGGAUGACGGCCUUCGGGUUGUAAACCUCUUUCAGCAGGGACGAAGCGUAAGUGACGGUACCUGCAGAAGAAGCGCCGGCCAACUACGUG